rnacentral:rRNA from 1 species
AUGGUGCAGAGGUACCCACAGAACAAGAACAAAGGGAAGAACAAACCUGUUUUCAACAAGCCUACCAAGACUACUACCUUCAAGAAGAAGAAGUUCAACAAGGCUGAGCUAGAGUGCUACGUCGCAAGGGAUUCUUCCGUCCUAAUGGGGAAUGGGUCACAUGCUUCUGUUCGUGGCAUUGGCACGGUGGAUCUGAAGUUUACUUCGGGAAAAAUCGUGCAACUAAGGAACGUGCAGCAUGUCCCUACUAUGAACAAGAAUCUAGUUAGCGGCUCCCUUCUAUGUCGAGAUGGAUUUAAGGUAGUUUUAGAGUCCAAUAAAGUAAUCGUGUCAAGAUUUGGACAAUUUAUAGGAAAAGGCUAUGAGUGCGGAGGCUUGUUCCGCUUUUCUCUUUCAGAUUUUUGCAAUAAGUCAAUAAACCAAAUUUGUGCUAAUGUUAAUGAUGAUGCAAGUAUUUGGCACUCUCGUUUAUGUCAUAUUAAUUUUGGUUUAAUGUCUCGGCUAUCCAGCAUGAGUUUAAUUCCAAACUUCACAGUUGCCAAAGGUUCUAAGUGCCAUAGUUGUGUGCAAUCUAAGCAACCUCGAAAGCCUCAUAAGGCUGCCGAGGAGAGAAACUUGGCACCUCUAGAACUCAUACAUUCUGAUCUUUGUGAGAUGAAUGGUGUGUUGACAAAAGGUGGAAAGAGAUAUUUCAUGACUUUGAUUGAUGAUGCGACUAGAUUUUGCUAUGUUUAUUUGUUGCAAACUAAAGAUGAAGCAUUAGACUACUUUAAAAUCUAUAAAGCUGAAGUUGAAAAUCAACUAGAGAGAAAGAUCAAGCGUCUUAGGUCCGAUCGUGGUGGAGAGUAUUUUUCAAAAGUUUUUGAUGAAUUUUGUGAGGAACAUGGUAUUAUUCAUAAGAGGACGCCUCCCUAUUCACCUCAAUCAAAUGGAGUGGCCGAGAGGAAAAACCGCACAUUGACUGACUUGGUGAAUACCAUGUUAGACAUUGCUGGUUUAUCUAAGGCAUGGUGGGGGGAGGCUCUAUUGACUUCAUGUCAUGUCCUGAAUAGAGUUCCCAACAAUAAUAAAGAGAAAACCCCUUAUGAGGAGUGGGUUGGGAGAAAACCAUCACUUUCUUAUUUGCGCACUUGGGGAUGUUUGGCAAAGGUCAAUAUUCCUAUUCCUAAGAAACGCAAACUUGGACCAAAGACAGUGGAUUGUGUCUUUCUAGGGUAUGCUCAACGGAGCAUUGCUUAUAGGUUUUUAGUGGUAAAAUCUGAAGUACCUGAUAUGCAUGUUGAUACUAUAAUGGAAUCUCGUGAUGCAACAUUUUUUGAGAACAUAUUUCCUAUGAAAGAUAUGCAUAGCAUUGCUAGAUUUUCUUCUGAGAUAAUUCCUGAAUCCAGUACAACUGAUGAACAUUUCGAACAAUCACAUGAGGAAGUCCUUGAGAAGGAUAACAAUGAAGUUCCUAGAAGGAACAAGAGACAAAGGAUUGCAAAAUCCUUUGGUGAUGAUUUCAUUGUAUACCUUGUGGACGACACACCCAAGACGAUUGCAGAAGCAUAUGCAUCUCCGGAUGUAGAUGAUUGGAAAGAAGCUGUUCAUAAUGAGAUGGACUCAAUUCUUUCUAAUGGAACUUGGGAACUAACUGAUAGACCAUAUGGUUGUAAACCUGUGGGCUGUAAGUGGGUGUUCAAAAAGAAGCUAAAGCCUGAUGGUACUAUUGAUAAGUACAAGGCGCGGCUAGUGGCCAAGGGCUACACUCAGAAAGAAGGCGAAGAUUACUUUGACACCUAUUCACCCGUUGCUAGAAUGACCACCAUUCGACUGUUACUUUCCUUGGCUGCCUCUUAUGGUAUUAUCAUUCAUCAAAUGGAUGUAAAGACAGCUUUUCUCAAUGGAGAGUUGGAAGAGGAGAUCUAUAUGGAUCAGCCUGACGGGUUUGUGGUAAAGGGUGAAGAGAGAAAGGUGUGCAAGUUGUUAAAAUCUUUGUAUGGUCUGAAACAGGCACCUAAGCAAUGGCAUGAGAAGUUUGAAAGAACUCUGACUUCUGCAGGAUUUGUCAUUAACGAGGCUGAUAGGUGUGUUUACUAUCGCCAUGGUGGGGGCAAUAGUGUCAUAUUAUGUUUGUAUGUGGACGACAUACUGAUCUUUGGUACAAACAUUAAUGCAAUUAAUGAGGUCAAGUCUUUUCUAUCGAAAAGUUUUGACAUGAAAGAUCUGGGAGAAGCCGAUGUAAUUCUAAACAUCAAACUUAUUAAGGAUGAGAGUGGGAUUACAUUAACGCAAUCUCACUAUGUUGAGAAGGUCUUGAACUGA